UCUAAAUUUAGCCAAUGUGAACAUCAGAUAUUCAGCACCUCUGAAAAAUCAGGUACUAGACAUUUAAAGUUGGGCAUCCAAAUACUGAAACACCUAAAAUUAUUAGGGCAUUUACUAAAGUUUGGCCCUUAACUGCUGUGCCUCAGUCUCCUGUCUGUAAAAUGAAGCUAAUGCCUGUCUACCUCAUGUUUCCAAAGUCUUUUGAGAUCCAUGAAUGAACAGCAUUAUAUAUAAAUUCAAAAUAUUUAUUAUUAAUUAGGUAUUUGGUAACAAAGUGAAGACUGAAUUUAAAGAAACUAUAUAAUGUUUUAUAGCAUCAUGCCUACCUGCGAAUGACAAAAUAAUUCCUUUAGUCAGAUCAGACUGAGCUAAAGAAAGUUUUAUACCAUUGUCCGGAGACCUUAAAUGGCAUUAAAGCCAUAUUUAUCAUUUGAGGAGAGAAAGGAGAGUGAAUCUUUAUAAACCAAUCAGAGUUUCUUGAGGUAGGACUGUUGUAUUCUCCAUAGAUCAAUGACUUGAGCUAUUCCUACACAGCUUGCUGUCUCAGCGAACUAGGAAAGAAUUCCUCCCAUUCAAGGAAGCCCAAAAGAAGCAUAUAUAUCACGUGUCACUUCACCACUGAGCAUCUGCAUCUACCACAUUGCCUAAUGACCGAACAAUGUCAAACGUGUUCCAAUUUUCAAGGAGAAGGUAGGGAACUCAUGUUGUUGACAAAGGAUACUUCAAAACUUCCUUCUUUACAAGGGAUGUGGAACCAUAUUGGGAGGAAGGCAAUCUCCUCGUACAUCUCCAAGGUGACCCUUCUGAUGUAAAUUCAUGGACCUUACCCGCUACUGAAUCCAAGUUCUGAACUGUUUAAUGUGGCUAAAAGUGGAAGAGAAGGACUCAGACCAUAAGCUUUUCACAUGGGAAGUUUUAAUCACAAUUCUAAUUUAGGGAAAUAAUAUUUAGCAUUUACACAAUUGCAUCCAAACAUUGGGUGUCAUCCUACUCCCAUUGUAACAAACAGAGAAAUUCCUAUUGACUUCAGUGGUAUAAAAUUGGGCCCAAUGAUAAAUCCCCACCAUACGCUCAUAAGGUACCCAAGUAGUAUUUUAUAGAUUCACUAUUUUACAGAUGGGCAAAUUGAGGCGGUAGGGUGGGGUGUGCAGUGAUUUUCCAAAGGUUACACAAUAAGUCAGUGGCAGAGUUUUUCUCCCAACCCUGUGUUUGGUUCUUAAUAAUAAAUAAUAAAUAUUAUGAGAUGGCAACAUAAUUUAUUAAAACUGAUACCUGACUAAAAGAUAAAACAAUAGCAAUAGUGAUUCUAUCAGUUAUUGGUGUAUUCUGCACCUGGCACAAACACUCCACACUUUUAGGGUUCUCUUGUUCUCCACAGCAGGACAGUUUGCUCAAAAGUUUGGACACAAUUUGGAUAUAACCCUGAACAGAAGUUUUGAGGUUGCUAGAAACUGAGACCUGAAAAAUCCCAAAUUGUAAGUCUGCACUGUAUCCAUUCCUUGUUCACCCUUCUUCUUCAACCUCACUUUCCCAGAAUAGAUGGCUAGAUUGAAAUUAAUGUAUUUGCCCUGUGGUAAGACAAAGGAAGUGUUGCCUUAGAGUGACUUAGCUAGGUCUUCCAGGAUUUUGACCUACACACAGACUUAGAAACUGGAGGCAGAAGAACUAACUCCUUAUACAGUAGCUAGAGAACAAGAAAGUGUACAUCGCUUAUUGUUGAAGAUAGAGGCCCUUUGAAAGGAUCAUUUAGUGUAUUUCUAAUAUAGUAUUCAGUAAGAUAACAAUGACUUUGCUUCACAAAGUCAGAAAGAGUGCUUCAUAUUCUUAAUGUAGCUACUUUACCAAAGGUUUGAGAGAAUUGCAAAGGGUUAUGCAGUUUUGUAGUUAAUCUAUGUCUCCUUCAAACAUGAUUAUUCAAUGUAAUUUGUUUGAUAUAGGAAGCAAUAAAACAAGGAUCGACCUGCAGAUAAGCGGUAAAGUUGCAACUACCAGAUAUCCUUAACUCUAAUGAUUAUACUUAGGCUUGGGAGCAUUAGAUUUUUAUUGGUAAAUAUCAAUAAAUGUUGAUUUCACUACACAUUAUGACUGAAUGCAUCCCUGUAUUCACACCCUACACACCACU